rnacentral:lncRNA from 1 species
GAAGCUCGCCUCCGCACCCGGGGCAGACGAGAUGCGGGGUAUGGGUUUAUUAGCCCCAGUAAAAUGACUUGCUCCCUUAGAAUUCUUCGCAUAAAGUCACGAACUGUAGUUCAAUAUAUUUUUUAUUUCUCUGAUACACCUCUCAUUAGAUAAAUGGAUCUGGAUCUGAAAAAUAUAUACUAAUGGUCAACAAAAGUAGAGUAGUCCCUUUGGAAAGGGCAAAAGGGAAUAAAAGCACGGCUAAAAUAUAUACCAUUCAUGCCCUGUCUCAACAAUUUCUGCAUCUCAUCAUAAUUAAAACAUGAUUCGCAUCUAAUCAGAACUAAAAACCAGUUAACAGCUCGAUCAAUGCCAGCAUUUAAAAUCUAAACACCCUACAAUCCUGUAAUGCAAUAACAAAGAAAAACUGAAUAGUGGUUGUCCCCCUUGAUUCUUCAACAUGUCCUCUCUUCUGCCUCCCUAUCCUACAAUACAACAACCAAGAAAUAGAGCAAUUAAUCAUAAGCGCAUAGCAAUAAGACCAAAAAGAUUGGUUCAGUUGAACUAUUAGUAAGCAGGAGACACGACGAAGAUCAAGAAUUU